AUUGAACGCUGGCGGCAUGCCUUACACAUGCAAGUCGAGCGGUAACAGGCAGUAAGGUGCUGACGAGUGGGGAAAGGGUGAGUAAUGCAUCGGAACGCGCGCAGACUUGGGGGUCAACUACUCGAAAAAGUAGCUAAAACCGCAGACAAGCUAUAGAUGAAAGCGGGGGAAAGUAAGAACUCUCGCGAUAGUAGCGUCCGAUGUCAGAUUAGGUAGUUGGUGGGGUAAAGGCUCACCAAGCCAACGAUCUGUAGCUGGUCUGAGAGGACGACCAGCCACACUGGGACUGAGACACGGCCCAGACUCCUACGGGAGGCAGCAGUGGGGAAUUUUGGACAAUGGGCGCAAGCCUGAUCCAGCCAUGCCGCGUGCACGAAGAAGGCCUUCGGGUUGUAAACUGCUUUUGUCCGGAAAGAAACGGCUCUGGUUAAUACCACGUGCUAAUGACGGUACCGGAAGAAUAAGCACCGGCUAACUACGUG
rnacentral:rRNA from 1 species